CAGGACAGCGCGCCAGCUCCUCUGUGAGUUAGUUCACUGCCACAGGACCGGCCUCGCUUCCCUCACCACCUGUCACCUCCAUCCUCCUCCCAGGUCCCGGCUCCUGAGCCACUGCACCCAGGAGGGGCUCAGCCCCUCACCUACCUGGAAGCCUCCGUCGAGCAAAGCUGGCCCCCGGGGCCCUCCAUCCGUGCCCUCAUCUCUGUGUGCGGCUGACCAGGGAGGGAGGCGCGGAGGGAGACGGGCACGAGCCGGAGGGGAUGGAGCCCAGAGGCCAAGCCCGAGGGCCGAUCUGGAGGGUCACAGCAGCACCACCUACGGCAGGGAAACAGGUGCAGUCGCAACCAUCUUGACGGCGUCCAAAGAGCGCGGGGUGGGAACUCGCCCCCUACGCCCACGACCCCACUUCCCUCACCAGUGCCCACUGCUUGUCUCUUUCACCCACCUGAGCCGCCUGCUGCUCCUUGGGCUCAGCGGGGCCAGCCUGGGGAGCACACAGCAAGGACACAGAGACCCCGUGGCAGAUGUGCACCCUGCGGGCCUGGGCCGUGUGCCAUGGGGUCCGCUCUUCCUGGCUGCUGAGAUGCCUGCACCUUGGCGGUCGCUAGGCCUGGACCUCCUGGAGGAGGGUGACAGUAUUUUAACAAGUAUCGUACGUUCUUUGCCUUUUCUGGUGCUGGGAAUUGAACCUAGCAGCUCUUCCUUGAGCUAAAUCCCAAACCCUUUUUUAUUUCUUUAUUUUUGCUUUGAGACAGGGUCUCACUCAGUUGCCGUGACUGGGCUCAGGCUUUCGACCUUCCUGCUUCAGCCUCUGAGUGCUGGGAUUACUGUCAAUUCAUUAGCAGACCUUUCCCAGACAGGGCUGGGCCUCCUGGUUUUGACGCCCUGAGUAACCUCCCAGGUCUCCUUUUGCAAUAGGGUGUGUGUGUGUGUGUGUGUGUGUGUGUGUGUGUGUGUGAGAGAGAGAGAGAGAGACCUCAGUGGAAGGUUUAUGGCUUUGGAAAGACCCUGCCCUCCGCUGGGACCCUCUGAGGAGCCCCCCAGUCUGCUGCCCAGCAGCCCUCCCGUGAGGGUGAAGGUUGCAGGGUGGGAGCCCCCCAUGACUCAGCAGGUGGUGCAGCAGCCCGAGCCCCCACACACCCUCCACGUCCCCACCUGCCCUGUCAGCCUGGAGACUAAUGAUUAACUCCUCCUGCAGGAGACGGGCUGCAGGCACCUUGGCCCAGCCGACCCUUGGGAACAGCCAGCCAG
rnacentral:lncRNA from 1 species